AUUGAACGCUGGCGGCAGGCCUAACACAUGCAAGUCGAGCGGAUGAAGAGAGCUUGCUCUCUGAUUCAGCGGCGGACGGGUGAGUAAUGCCUAGGAAUCUGCCUGGUAGUGGGGGACAACGUUUCGAAAGGAACGCUAAUACCGCAUACGUCCUACGAGAGAAAGCAGGGGACCUUCGGGCCUUGCGCUAUCAGAUGAGCCUAGGUCGGAUUAGUUAGUAGGUGAGGUAAAGGCUCACCUAGGCGACGAUCCGUAACUGGUCUGAGAGGAUGAUCAGUCACACUGGAACUGGGACACGGUCCAGACUCCUACGGGAGGCAGCAGUGGGGAAUAUUGGACAAUGGGCGAAAGCCUGAUCCAGCCAUGCCGCGUGUGUGAAGAAGGUCUUCGGAUUGUAAAGCACUUUAAGUUGGGAGGAAGGGCAGUAAGUUAAUACCUUGCUGUUUUGACGUUACCAACAGAAUAAGCACCGGCUAACUUCGUGCCAGCAGCCGCGGUAAAAC
rnacentral:rRNA from 1 species